ACCGACUGAGCCACCCAGGCGCCCCAUGCUUUUCUAGAUUUCUGAGAAGUCUUCCCUGACUACUCUUCCACCUUCACUAGGCUCUAGACGUUCAAGGCCAUCUAUACACUUCUUCACAGCACUGGCCCUCAUCCUGUAAUUACGUAUCUGUGUGAUUAUUUCACGAAUGUCCGUCUCUGUGUUAGACUCCUGUGCAUGAGGUUAGGGACCAUCUCUGUUUUGUUCAGCAUUCUGUCCCCGGCUUCUACCUGGCACAUAGUGUGUGCUCAAUCAACAUUUGCUAAAUGUGGACGAAUCUCUUAUAUAAUGUUUGCUCUAGUUAACUGAGGGCAUAUCACUGUUCCUUCCUGUGAUGGUUAAUUUCAUGUGUCAGCUGGACAGAGCUUAGGGAUGCCCAGAUAGCUGGUAAAACAUUAUUUCUGGGUGUGUCUAUGAGGGUGUUUCUAGAAGAAAUUAACAUUUGAAACAGCGGACUGAGUAAAGAUGAUCCCUCUCACCAAGGCGGGUGGGCAUCAUCCAGUGCAUUGAGGGCCUGAAUAGAACAAAAAGGUGCAGGAAGGGCCAAUUCGCUCUCUGCUUGAGCUGGGACAUCCACGUCUCCUGCCCGUGGACUUUGGCACUCCUGGUUCUCAGGCCUUGGACUGGACUGGGACUUAGAUCAUCAGCCCCUUGAUCCUCAGGCCUUCAGAUUCAGACUGAAUUACUCCACCAGCUUUCCUGGUUCUCCAGCCUGCAGAUGGCAGAUUGUGGCACUUCUUGGCCUCCAUAAUCAUGUUUGACUUAGGGAAGACUGGCGUGAUGUCCACAGUCAUUUGAUUGGCUGGAUUUGCAAGACUAGCCUUCCAUUUGCCUCCACCUCUUUAAGGACAUUUUCUUCCACUUGGGCUAUAUUGCCAAAAAGUUUGAAGAGUUUCUUCAACUGAUUCUGAGGGUUUACCUUUGAUAUUUUAUGUCAAAAUUAGGGGACACACAGAGUCCUCCUUUUCAGCUGUCUUCCUACGUGUUGAACAAUCUGCUCAUUUUCUUCUCCUCCAACUCCUCUGUAUAAUGAAGAAAUGACCUCUCCAUCCACAGGGAUGUGGCAGAUAUGACGCAUGCAUUCAGGUCAGCAGUGCAAAUCUCCGACACGGCCAUUUUUCUCAUCGGGAAAAUGUUUGUCAGCCCCUUGACCAACUUAUUUGGAGAUCUUGGCAACGAAGGGGCUGUUAAGCAAAUGGCACAGAAACCUCUGCUUCUCUUUGAAAGAGACUGCUUUUGAAGGGACAUGAAACUGCAAAAAUACCGGCUUGUAUUAGAAUAUAAAUUCACGUUAAAUGUGUUUUCAGGAAAAGACGAAAAUUGAAGAGAAACCUGAAGUCAUUUCAAGACUGAUGCUGAGCUAUCCUAUCACUCAUUUCCCUGGAACUUAGGCUGAUGAGACAAAGUAUCUCUUCCAUUGUCACAAUUUUCUCUAGGUUAUUUCUGAAAAGCUUUACUCUGGCUUCAGGGAUGGGAAAACAGCAACAACAAAACCUUGUUCUCUCCAUGUCACUAAGCCAAAAAUUCAAUCUCAAGUUGUUUACAUUCUCAAUUUCCUUAAAAUAUUGGGAUCAUAUAUAGUUCUUUAUUCUGCAUAUUUUCACUUAUUAUAUCAGGGACGUUCCCCAAGUUCUUAAACCCUCUUCUAAAAUACUUUAAUAGCUUUGAAAUAUUCUUUCAGUUGAGUGUACCAUUAUUUGUUUAACCAGUCCUCUAUUUUUGGGCAUACAGUUAUUUUUUGUAAUUUUUUACCACUAAAUAAUGCUGUCAUAAUAAUGCCAAAUAAUAUCCAUAUAUAUAUGUAUUUUUUUCUUUCAUCUCAUCUCUGAUCAUGUUGUUAACAUAAAUUUCCUUAAGUAUAAUUGCUGGGCCAAGGGAUAGGAGCACCUUUGAGGACUUCUCUCCACAGACUGCUAAAUUGUUCUAUGCCUAUUUCCCACGUGUAAAAUGUUUGGUGACACUGCUUGAAGGUUUCUAUGAGAAAACCCAUUAUCAAAUUGACUGGAAGCAGCAAUUUCUGUUAUCAAAGUAAAUCUAUUGUUAUCAUUA